GGUUUAACUGUCUCUUAUAGUUAAUCAAUUAAACUGAUCUACCAGUAAAAAAGCUGGAAUACACACACAAGACCAGAAGACCCUGUGAAGCUUAAACUAAACUAUUAAAAUUAUAUAAUAACUACUUUCGGUUGGGGCGACCUUGGAAAAUAAAAGAACUUCCAAACACAAUGAUUACCUACAUCACCCUCCUAGGCCAACAAGCCACAUAUGACCCAGCACAGCUGAUAAUUGAACCAAGUUACUCCAGGGAUAACAGCGCCAUCUUCUUCAAGAGUCCAUAUCAAAAAGAAGGUUUACGACCUCGAUGUUGGAUCAGGACAUCCUAA
rnacentral:rRNA from 1 species